GCCGGUGUAGCUCAGGGGUAGAGCGUUCGCCUUGUAAGCGAAUGGUCAAGAGUUCGAAUCUCUUCACCGGCU
rnacentral:tRNA from 1 species